UCGGGAACUUUGGGCAAUGGGCGAAAGCCUGACCCAGCAACGCCGCGUGAGGGAUGAAGUAUUUCGGUAUGUAAACCUCGAAAGAAUGGGAAGAAUAAAUGACGGUACCAUUUAUAAGCUCCGGCUAACUACGUGCCAGCAGCCGCGGUAAUACGUAGGGAGCAAGCGUUGUUCGGAUUUACUGGGCGUAAAGGGCGCGUAGGCGGCGCGGUAAGUCACUUGUGAAAUCUCUGAGCUUAACUCAGAACGGCCAAGUGAUACUGCUGUGCUAGAGUGCGGAAGAGGCAACCGGAAUUCUUGGUGUAGCGGUGAAAUGCGUAGAUAUCAAGAGGAACACCUGAGGCGAAGGCGGGAUGCUGGGCCGACACUGACGCUGAUGCGCGAAAGCCAGGGGAGCAAACG
rnacentral:rRNA from 1 species